rnacentral:rRNA from 1 species
AUUGAACGCUGGCGGCAUGCCUUACACAUGCAAGUCGAACGGCAGCACGGGUGCUUGCACCUGGUGGCGAGUGGCGAACGGGUGAGUAAUACAUCGGAACAUGUCCUGUAGUGGGGGAUAGCCCGGCGAAAGCCGGAUUAAUACCGCAUACGAUCCACGGAUGAAAGCGGGGGACCUUCGGGCCUCGCGCUAUAGGGUUGGCCGAUGGCUGAUUAGCUAGUUGGUGGGGUAAAGGCCUACCAAGGCGACGAUCAGUAGCUGGUCUGAGAGGACGACCAGCCACACUGGGACUGAGACACGGCCCAGACUCCUACGGGAGGCAGCAGUGGGGAAUUUUGGACAAUGGGCGAAAGCCUUAUCCAGCAAUGCCGCGUGUGUGAAGAAGGCCUUCGGGUUGUAAAGCACUUUUGUCCGGAAAGAAAUCCUUGGCUCUAAUACAGUCGGGGGAUGACGGUACCGGAAGAAUAAGCACCGGCUAACUACGUG